rnacentral:rRNA from 1 species
UACGAAGGGGACUAGCGUUGUUCGGAAUCACUGGGCGUAAAGCGCGUUCAGGCGGUUCGGCAAGUCGGGCAUGAAAUCUCUCGGCUCAACCGGGAGAGGUUGUCCGAUACUGCUGGACUUGAGGGCAGUAGAGGGUGGUGGAAUUCCGGGUGUAGUGGUGAAAUGCGUAGAUAUCCGGAGGAACACCAGUGGCGAAAGCGGCCACCUGGACUGCACCUGACGCUGACACGCGAAAGCUAGGGGAGCGAACGGG